UAGACAGUUACAGACUCAAAAACUUUUUCGAUAGUUUAUCGAUAUAUUCUCCUUAUCGAUAACUCGAUUUUUAUUCAUAUAUUAUGAGUUUCAGAUAAUCAAAUAUAUAAAAUUUAAAAUAAAAAAUAAAAAAAAGGGAAAAACUAAAAAUAUAUUUUUAAUGGUAUUUCUGGGGGAAGAGGAUGGAUUUUCUUUUAUGCAAAAAUUUGGCGCUGUUCCUAACCUUUAUAUUGUCGAGAGAGCAUUCAUUGAAAAUAUUAGUAUAUUAUUAAUAAGAUUUAAUAAAAAAUAUAAAAUAAAAUAAAAUAAUUAUAUAAAAUAAUUUACUCUUUCAAUAUUAUCAUAUAAUAAUCAUUUUAUAUUAUUAUAUUUUAUUAUUGUAUGCAUUUUACGAUGAUAUAUAUAUAGUGUAUAGAAUAUCAGAUUUAUAUUAAAAUUAAAUGAAAAAAAUUUUUUUCAUGUAUAUACCACACACACGCAUACUCAUACAAAAUACAUGAUUUAAAAUUUAAAUUUUAAUUUUAUGAUUUUUAAAAAAUUGAACGUAUAAUAAAAAAAAUAUAAUAAAAUUAUACAUUUUGAAUUAUAUUAAUAAAGUACGUAUACAGAAAUGAUACGUGACUUUAUAUAAUAUAUUAUAUAUAAAUGUACAAAUAUUUAAUACACACACACAUACACACAAACUGAUUUAAUAUAUAUAUAUAUAAGUAUUUAUAAAAUAUAUGUAUAAAAAAAUAUAAUACAAUUUGUUAUAUUAUUUGCAUAAAAUUUAAUAAAAUUUAAAAGCACUUCUAUAAA